rnacentral:rRNA from 1 species
UACGGAGGAUGCGAGCGUUAUCCGGAUUUAUUGGGUUUAAAGGGUGCGCAGGCGGCAAGAAAAGCUUAAGGUGAAAGCGUGGGGCUCAACCCCAUAAAGCCUUAGGAACUAGCUUGCUAGAGUGCAGGAGAGGGCGAUGGAAUUCCAUGUGUAGCGGUAAAAUGCGUAGAUAUAUGGAGGAACACCGGCGGCGAAGGCGGCCUGCUGGACCGUAACUGACGUUGAGGCUCGAAAGCGUGGGGAGCAAACAGG